rnacentral:rRNA from 1 species
UAGGGAAUCUUCGGCAAUGGACGAAAGUCUGACCGAGCAACGCCGCGUGGGUNAAGAAGGUUUUCGGUAUCGUAAAACUCUGUUGGUAGAGAAGAACGUUGGUGAGAGUGGAAAGCUCAUCAAGUGACGGUAACUACCCAGAAAGGGACGGCUAACUACGUGCCAG